AUACGUAGGGGGCGAGCGUUGUCCGGAAUGAUUGGGCGUAAAGGGCGCGUAGGCGGCCCGGUAAGUCUGGAGUGAAAGUCCUGUUUUUAAGAUGGGAAUUGCUUUGGAUACUGUCGGGCUUGAGUGCAGGAGAGGUAAGUGGAAUUCCCAGUGUAGCGGUGAAAUGCGUAGAGAUUGGGAGGAACACCAGUGGCGAAGGCGACUUACUGGACUGUAACUGACGCUGAGGCGCGAAAGUGUGGGGAGCAAACAGGAUUAGACACCCUGGUAGUCCACACUGUAAACGAUGAAUGCUAGGUGUAGGGGGUAUCGACCCCUUCUGUGCCGCAGUCAACACAAUAAGCAUUCCGCCUGGGGAGUACGGCCGCAAGGUUGAAACUCAAAGGAAUUGACGGGG
rnacentral:rRNA from 1 species